GACGUAGGGCGCGAGCGUUGUCCGGAUUUAUUGGGCGUAAAGAGCUCGUAGGCGGCUUGUCGCGUCGACCGUGAAAACUUGGGGCUCAACCCCAAGCCUGCGGUCGAUACGGGCAGGCUAGAGUUCGGUAGGGGAGACUGGAAUUCCUGGUGUAGCGGUGAAAUGCGCAGAUAUCAAGCGGAACACCAGUGGCGAAGGCGAGUCCCUGGACAACACCUGACACUGAGGCACGAAAGCUAGGGGAGCAAACAGG
rnacentral:rRNA from 1 species